rnacentral:lncRNA from 1 species
GUGUUAAUUAUCACGGAGAGCCAUGAUGCUUUAAUUUUACAGUCUCAGAGAUUAGUCAAGUGAGCUAAAGGGACUGAAACAGACAACUACAGAACAACCACAAGACAGACAACCAUAGAGAGGUUAAGGGUAAUCGCAGUUUUCUGCCAGGUGAAGUGGCUAAAGGGGACGCAUGCCAGCUGUCAAACUCCCAGGCAAGGAAACCGAGACCCCAGCAGUUGCUUUGAGUGCACAGCUGCGGGGACAAACUAUCUUAUGGGGACACUCCCCUCUGGAAGCCUCAUUAUGGCGUUGUUUCUACUAAAGUGGGCACAGGAAAAGGAAUGAUCCAGAACAAGUGGUUUACUUUGGAGAAACUGGAAUUUCAUACCUAAGCUUUUGCCAUCAAAUGACAAACUCUAACCUG